rnacentral:rRNA from 1 species
GAUGAACGCUGGCGGCGUGCCUAACACAUGCAAGUCGAACGAAGCAUGACCCUUGAGGCCUUCGGGCGGAGAGGGGCAUGACUUAGUGGCGGACGGGUGAGUAACGCGUGGGUAACCUGCCCUAUACUGGGGGAUAACAGCUAGAAAUGGCUGCUAAUACCGCAUGAGCGCACAGUCCCGCAUGGGACAGUGUGGAAAACUCCGGUGGUAUAGGAUGGACCCGCGUCCGAUCAGCUGGUUGGUGGGGUAACGGCCCACCAAGGCGACGAUCGGUAGCCGACCUGAGAGGGUGACCGGCCACAUUGGGACUGAGACACGGCCCAA